rnacentral:rRNA from 1 species
AUUGAACGCUGGCGGCAUGCCUUACACAUGCAAGUCGAACGGUAACGCGGGGGCGAACCCUGGCGACGAGUGGCGAACGGGUGAGUAAUACAUCGGGAACGUACCCAGUAGUGGGGGAGUAGCUCGGCGAAAGCCGGAUUAAUACCGCAUACGACCUAUGGGUGAAAGCGGGGGAUCGCAAGACCUCGCGCUAUUGGAGCGGCCGAUGCCGGAUUAGCUAGUUGGUGAGGUAAAGGCUCACCAAGGCUACGAUCCGUAGCUGGUCUGAGAGGACGACCAGCCACACUGGGACUGAGACACGGCCCAGACUCCUACGGGAGGCAGCAGUGGGGAAUUUUGGACAAUGGGCGAAAGCCUGAUCCAGCCAUGCCGCGUGUGUGGAGAAGGCCUCGGUGUAAG